rnacentral:rRNA from 1 species
AUUGAACGCUGGCGGAAUGCUUUACACAUGCAAGUCGAACGGCAGCACGGGAGCUUGCUCCUGGUGGCGAGUGGCGAACGGGUGAGUAAUGCGUCGGAACGUACCGAGUAAUGGGGGAUAACGCACCGAAAGGUGUGCUAAUACCGCAUACGCCCUGAGGGGGACAGCGGGGGAUCGUAAGACCUCGCGUUAUUCGAGCGGCCGACGUCUGAUUAGCUAGUUGGUGAGGUAAUGGCUCACCAAGGCGACGAUCAGUAGACGGUCUGAGAGGAUGAUCCGCCACGCUGGGACUGAGACACGGCCCAGACUCCUACGGGAGGCAGCAGUGGGGGAUUUUGGACAAUGGGGGCAACCCUGAUCCAGCCAUUCCGCGUGAGUGAAGAAGGCCUUCGGGUUGUAAAGCUCUUUCAGCUGGAACGAAACGGUGAGCUCUAACAUAGCUUGCUAAUGACGGUACCAGCAGAAGAAGCACCGGCUAACUACGUGCCAGCCGCCGCUGUAAAAC